rnacentral:rRNA from 1 species
GACGAACGCUGGCGGCAUGCCUAAUACAUGCAAGUCGAGCGAACAGAUGAAGUGCUUGCACUUCUGACGUUAGCGGCGAACGGGUGAGUAACACGUAAGGAAUCUACCUAUAAGCGGGGGAUAACAUUCGGAAACGGGUGCUAAUACCGCAUAAUAUCUUCUUCCGCAUGGACGAAGAUUAAAAGACGGCUCUGCUGUCACUUAUAGAUGACCUUGCGGUGCAUUAGUUAGUUGGUGGGGUAAUGGCCUACCAAGACGAUGAUGCAUAGCCGACCUGAGAGGGUGAUCGGCCACAUUGGGACUGAGAGACGGCCCAAACUCCUACGGGAGGCAGCAGUAGGGAAUCUUCCGCAAUGGGCGAAAGCCUGACGGAGCAAUGCCGCGUGAGGGAAGAAGGCCUUCGGGUCGUAAAACUCUGUUAUAAGAGAAGAACAAAUUGUAGAGUAACUGCUACAGUCUUGACGGUAUCUUAUCAGAAAGCCACGGCUAACUACGUGCCAGCCGCCGCCGUAA